GACGAACGCUGGCGGCGUGCUUAACACAUGCAAGUCGAACGGAAAGGCCCUGCUUUUGUGGGGUGCUCGAGUGGCGAACGGGUGAGUAACACGUGAGUAACCUGCCCUUGACUUUGGGAUAACUUCAGGAAACUGGGGCUAAUACCGGAUAGGAGCUCCUGCUGCAUGGUGGGGGUUGGAAAGUUUCGGCGGUUGGGGAUGGACUCGCGGCUUAUCAGCUUGUUGGUGGGGUAGUGGCUUACCAAGGCUUUGACGGGUAGCCGGCCUGAGAGGGGGACCGGCCACAUUGGGACUGAGAUACGGCCCAGACUCCUACGGGACGCAGCGGUGGGGAAUAUUGCACAAUGGGCGGAAGCCUGAUGCAGCAACGCCGCGUGCGGGAUGACGGCCUUCGGGUUGUAAACCGCUUUCGCCUGUGACGAAGCGUGAGUGACGGUAAUGGGUAAAGAAGCACCGGCUAACUACGUG
rnacentral:rRNA from 1 species